rnacentral:rRNA from 1 species
AUACGAAGGGGGCUAGCGUUGUUCGGAAUUACUGGGCGUAAAGCGCGCGUAGGCGGACUGAUCAGUUGGGGGUGAAAUCCCAGGGCUUAACCCUGGAACUGCCUCCAAUACUGUCAGUCUUGAGUUCGGGAGAGGUGAGUGGAAUUCCUAGUGUAGAGGUGAAAUUCGUAGAUAUUAGGAAGAACACCAGUGGCGAAGGCGGCUCACUGGCCCGAUACUGACGCUGAGGCGCGAAAGCGUGGGGAGCAAACGGGAUUAGAUACCCUAGUAGUCC